rnacentral:rRNA from 1 species
UACGGGGGGAGCAAGCGUUGUUCGGAUUUACUGGGCGUAAAGGGCGCGUAGGCGGUCAGCACAAGUCAGUUGUGAAAUCUCCGGGCUUAACUCGGAAAGGUCAACUGAUACUGUGCGACUAGAGUGCAGAAGGGGCAACUGGAAUUCUCGGUGUAGCGGUGAAAUGCGUAGAUAUCGAGAGGAACACCUGCGGCGAAGGCGGGUUGCUGGGCUGACACUGACGCUGAGGCGCGAAAGCGUGGGUAGCAAACAGG